UACGGAGGGUGCAAGCGCUGUCCGGAUUUAUUGGGUUUAAAGGGUGCGUAGGCGGCCCUGUAAGUCAGUGGUGAAAUACUGCAGCUUAACUGUAGCAUUGCCAUUGAUACUGUAGGGCUUGAGUACAGAUGAGGUAGGCGGAAUUGAUGGUGUAGCGGUGAAAUGCAUAGAUACCAUCAAGAACACCGAUUGCGAAGGCAGCUUACUAAGCUGUAACUGACGCUGAGGCACGAAAGCGUGGGGAUCGAACAGG
rnacentral:rRNA from 1 species